rnacentral:pre_miRNA from 1 species
UUUCUACUCCCUCCGUCCGAAAAUACUUGUCAUCAAAAUGGAUAAAAAUAGAUGUAUCUAAAACUAAAAUACGUCUAGAUACAUUUCUUUUUAUCCAUUUUGAUGACAAGUAUUUCCGGACGGAGGGAGUAUUUG